CACAAACAUCCGCCUGAGAACUACGAGCACAAACGCUUAAAACUCUAAGGACUUGACGGUGCUCUACACCCACCUAGAGGAGCCUGUUCUAUAAUCGAUAACCCACGAUUCACCCGACCACUUCUUGCCAAAACAGCCUAUAUACCGCCGUCACCAGCCCACCUCAUGAGAGCACAACAGCGAGCCCAACAGUCUACAACCCACUAACAAGACAGGUCGAGGUAUAGCCUAUGAAGUGGAAGAAAUGGGCUACAUUUUCUAAAAUAGAAAACCCAACGAAAGGGGGCUUGAAACCUGCCCCCAGAAGGCGGAUUUAGCAGUAAAGCAGUCAA
rnacentral:rRNA from 1 species